rnacentral:tRNA from 1 species
GUUGUGGUUCAGCGGUAGAGCACUUGCCUAGCACAUGCAAGGCUCUGGGUUCGAUCCUCAGCACACA